rnacentral:rRNA from 1 species
UACAGAGGGGCAAGCGUUGUCCGGAUUUACUGGGCGUAAAGAGCGCGUAGGCGGACCUGCAAGUCGGGGGUGAAAGCCCGAGGCUCAACCUCGGAACUGCCUUCGAUACUGCGGGUCUCGAGUCCGGGAGAGGUGAGUGGAAUUCCUAGUGUAGAGGUGAAAUUCGUAGAUAUUAGGAAGAACACCAGUGGCGAAGGCGGCUCACUGGCUCGGUACUGACGCUGAGGCGCGAAAGCGUGGGGAGCGAACAGG